rnacentral:lncRNA from 1 species
GAUCCUCUUGGGAGAGUAUUUUCAGUAAAAGCCCGGAGGUGGUGACUCCUUUGCAGCUCCAGUGUUGCCAGCGCCUGGUGGAGCUUUGUAAACAGUGCCUGCUAGUGGUUUACAAAUAUGCAGCUGAUUCAAGAGGAUCACUCUCAGGCAUUGGUACCGAUUGGGGUAAUUCCAGGUAUUUACUACCAGGAAGUACACAAUUCUUCUUGAGAACACCAACAUACAACUUGAAAUACAGUUCACCUGGAAUGGCUCGCUCCAAUGUGUUGUUUACAUCCCGAUAUGGCCAUUUGUGAAACAGAAGGGAAGAUCGCAAUGAGUUAUGCAUAAUAGCAAUUAUUAUCUUCCCAUUUUAACAUGGCAAAGACAGUGACCAUUAAGUACUGUUUAUGUAUAUAUGACAUAUAUAUGUGGGAGAAUAUAUACACACAUGCACUCAAAUAACAUAUAUAUUUAUUAUAAUAUAUGAAAAAGAAUUAGCAGGAAACUGGAUAUAAGAUUUAACCUUUCUGGAAAUGUAAUAAACCAUGUUAAAACUGUUUACACAAAUAUGUGAAUGUCUAGAAUUUGCUAGGUUUAUAAUUAAUACCUUCCUACUAGAAAUGUUAUUUUUGCUGCAGAGUAUAUAAAAGAAUUGAUCUUGAAGAUCCCAUUACAAGUGUUAAAUUAUUUUCUAGAUAACAUGUCUUUUGACUUGAAAAAGCAGUAAUAGUAAAUUACCUUAUUAAUUCUCCUAUAUAUAGUAGCUAUUUAAAAUGGAAAAAAAAAUUGGAAGCCUGGUGUUGCUUGACGGUAGGAUUAAGUAUAAGGUGGGUUUGUCAUUACUAUGGCACACUGUAAAGUACUAUAAAAAUUCCAACCCGAUACUCUAACAUUUUUAUUCCUCUAUGUGGAAAUUUAGCUACCUGUGAAAAUGAUAAUGUACAUUUUCAGUAAGGAUCAUAUUAUGAUCUAAAAUGGAAGACAAUCCAGUGGGUUAAAAAUAAAAUAUACUAGCUUGUAUUUUUACUUUUCAUCAGGAGUCACAAAAAGAGAACGGAAAAUAAUGGUUAAUGGUGACAUCUUACCACAUGAUUUUUCUAUCUCUUACCACUGAACUUUUAUUUGGAAAGUGUGUCUCUGAUGGGUGCAUAUGGUUAAAUACAAUCCCUUCUGUUCUUCAGAAGUGGAAGAGCUGAAAUUUUAAACUUACUUUAAUGUUACAAAAUAAUGUGUCACUCUUAUAAGUUUCUCAGUGUUGAGACCAACUUACAUUGCAAACUCUAAUACAGAGUUUCAUAUUUCAUCAUAGAAAUUAAUCUAAACUAUUUCAAAUAGAAGAUUCUGAUUAGUAGAUAUUAUUAGGCAUGGAUGUGCCCUUGAGAAUUUUAAAAAAUAAAAAUAUAGUAUGAAAUUUUCUUCUUGUCCCAAGUUAUUAUGCAUAAGUUUCAUAGCAGCUUAUUUCCUUUUACAGUUUUGAAAGCAAUGUGUGAGGUUUCAGUUUUCUAUACAAAUAUAAACAGCAGUAGGAUAAAUAGCCAUAGAAAUUACAAUAUUGACCUUUAAGUUUAUUAAACGUCACUCAAUAAUUUUAAUUUCUCAGAGAUGCUAAUUAUUUGCAAAAUUCAUGAAUGUUUUACCUCCUUUUACUAUCCUGAUAGCUAUUUCCAGUAAAUCAAGAAAUGGGCCCAAAGCAGAAGGAGAACUGAAAGAGGCAAAGUGGCCUGCUUUAAUUCACAAGCUGGAUAACUGGCAAGCCAAAGUUGUAAGUUAGAUACAUUUUACAUUUAAAGCCAUGUUCUGCAGUUGUAUUGGGAUAAAACAGAUUCUUCCCUAAAUUACCUCCAGCUACUUGAUUCUUUAUGAAUAUGGGAGUAUCCUUACUCUAAUGGAUACUUUUCCUUGCUAAUUGCAUCCCAAAGAAGAGUUUGUUAUUACCUUUGUAGAGAAAGAGAGUAAGGAUGUUAGGAUGAAGGAAAUUACAGUGUAGCUCUGAGUGUUUAUGAUAUCAUCUUGUGAAUUCUUAAGUAUGUUUAGAAUUUUUUGAUAAAUAAUGCAAAUAGUUGGGGUAUUAACAAAAUCGUUAUAAAAAUGAUCAGUGAGUAGGCCUUUUCCUGGAGCAAUUUUAGUCAUUUUUCUUUUAAAUUCAUGAAUGAGACAGAAUUUAAAGUGUCUGGUAUAUGAUAUUGACCCAGUUUGUUGACCACUCACUUGCAUUUGCUUAAAUCAAAGUGAUGACUUAAUUUGCUAGAGUGAAUAUUUUGAAAAUUCUUUUCUUGGUUGUACAAAAGUGAAAUUUUAAUUCAAAGGGAAAAAAAAUGCCCAAUAUACUUCCCCCUAGAGGGAAAAAAACAUACAAAAAAAGAGUAAAUUUAAAUGAUUUAAAUGUAAGAAACUACCCAGUUACCAUGUGAGCAAACUUCAUUCUUCUAGCUACUUAGGCCUGGCUUUUUUUGAGUACUAGAAUUUUAUUUUCCCCCAUUUGCCUAUUUAUACUGAUCUAGUCUGAUAUGAUGAAGUUGUGAAUAAAAGUCCUGUACUCAUUAUUUAUGUAUACUACCUGGUAUGCUGUGGAUGAUGGUUGUGGUGAUGCUUAUUCCCUAAUGAGAAACUAAGAAGAGAAGAUACGGUAAUAAACUGUGGAAGUCUCUAGAGGCCAUAGAAAUGUUUUAGAGGUAUAAAAUAUUCCUUAGUUUUUAUUAUAAAUUUUUUAUUCAUAGAGUUAAAAGCUAUCAGUAUAAGUGAUAGUCUGACUUUCUCUUCCAGGAGGGAAAUAACUUUAUCUGAAAAACUCCAGAAGCUAUUCAAUCUUACCAGGAGAUUUUAAUAGGGAAUUUGGUUUACUUACAGUGAAAGCACAUUUUCAUUCUGUUACACCCUGCUCAUUCUGUAACUAAUGCUUUCCAGAACUGCAUAUGAUUAUAAUGAUUUCCAGAAUUGUAUAAAAAGUAAUCUUUUAAUGUUUAAGUUAUCAUUUAUGAACAUAGCAUGAGAUUACAGCUUAGUUUUUGCUUUAAUAAUCCAACAUUGUAAAUGUUACCAUUUGCUUUCUGUAUUCUGUUGAAGGAGCUAUUGUGACUCAUAUUAUGAUUAUUAGCAACAAAUUUUACUUUACCUUGCAUGUGUAAAAAUGAAAUUAUAACAGGAUCAAAUAUAGAAAUGGCAAUGGUUGUCUCUGUCAGAUGCAAAGAUCUGUACAUAUUUUUUCAUAUAUCUCAACUAGGUCUAAAUAUUCAAAACUUGUCUAUUAAUUCCUUUACCCCAAACUAAAAUGAACUAAACUCAAGCAAAAAGCCCCAAUCUUCUCAUCUAAUGUUUACACAGAGCUAGAUGACAGUGGCUUCUAGACAUCAAGAAAAGGAUUUCAUUCUAAUUCUGUUUUUAAUGAUUAUAGAAUUUUGUUAUGUAACUCAAAAUUUCACAUCUUAAUAUAAUUUAAUCCAAAUGCUUUCUUUCUUCUUUAGCAUGUCAAAGUCAUCCCAUUAAAAAAUUCUCUUUAAACCUAAACAUCUAUAUUACUUGACUGUUCAAAAGUACCAAAAAAAUUUGCAUAAAAUCUAUUAUUUCUAGUUUUCUAUAAAGCACUAUUUUUUUCUAAAAUGUAUAUUCUUUAAAAAAUAAUAAGUAUCUUGAGAAGAGUGAAAAAACAUACCUUCCUUUUCUUUUCUGUAAUGCUAUUUUCCAUUUCGAGUCUUAGUUUAUUUGGUUCUAAGGGUUAAACAAUAAAAAAAGUAUAAUUACAACUAGCUGUGUCGCUGUGACCUGAUGAUUUUUGAAAAUUUCUUUUCUUUUUAAAUGGAGAAUUUUAAGCUUUAAGGACUUAGUUAUCUAAUUAUUUUGUUCUAAUUCUACUUACAAAUAAAUUAAAAUUUGGAAGUAUAUUGAUGAUCAAAAUUUUAUUCCUGACACUGUUUUUUUCUUUUUCUUUUCUUCUUCUUUUUUUAAACUUUAAGUUCCCUUUGAAGUUUUGACUUUGCGUGGACAAAGUCAAGAAAAGAGAAAUCCUGCCUUUUAAACAUUGGUUUAUGGUGGUGUAUUUUUGCCUCAGCAACAAUAAAACUUAGAUAAAAUGUGUUAUUGAAUCAAGUUCAGUUUUUCUGCUCAGAUAUUUAAGAACAAUGUUGUAGUUUCAGUAUCUAAAAAAAAAGAGCAUUAAUUUUCUGGAUCCAUAUGAAUCAAGAUAUAUGACUAUGAAUAACAGGCUUGUGACCAAAAAAUUGUAAUAUUAAAACUUAUUGCACACCUUGAGAUUGCUGCCUUUUUUUGGUAUUUUUUUUUUUUUUGCCUUGUCACGAGUGGGUAAAUGGAAUAGUGAAGGAAAAAUAUUCAGGUGACACAUUUUGCAUUACCUAGGCUGUAUUACCUAAAAGAGCUACAUAAAUCUUUUAUUUUAUCCCCACCUGCUAACUUGAAAACUUUUGGUAAAAUCAUCAUUCAAUAAGCUAAUAUUUUCUAAAUUAAUAAGUCUUACAAAAGUAAUCAGAUAAUACUGAUAUUUCUCUUUCAAAGGCUAACAAUGACAGUCCUUGGUCCUGAGCUGAUUGGUUCAUACGUAACUACUGUACAUGUUACAACAUUGAAUAUUAAUAGAUUAGCUGAAGAUUCUGGGUUUGAAGAUGAGCUUGAAAGCAAUACAUUUGCUACCAUGAAUCAUGACUCAAAUUAUCCCCAUGUGUUUUACUAUCUGUAUAUGAAUGCAAAUGUUGUUACAGAAAAUAUGCUUGAAAUGUCAACACAAUGUGCAAUUAGUAUUGCAUUGUCAUGCUUCAGCAUGUGAUAUCUGUGCAGUGGAAAUUAUUUCAAUUACUCAGAUAUGUUACCAUAAUAAAAAAAGUAUUUAACAUAAGAAAGCUA